GUGGAGCGCAGGAUCCUGGGCUGUGUUCCCCGGCACCCUGGGCUCUGCAGCCUGUGCCGCUAGAAUCGCGCUCUUGGGCCAUGGAACCCCCU
rnacentral:pre_miRNA from 1 species